CUGAUUUAAGCUGAUAGAAGAUCAACUUUGACUCAAAUAACCACUCGUUACAACUGAAGUAUGCAGCAAAGCAUUUGUGAAGCCACAACACGCACAACCUUGAGGCGGAUGGGCUACACCAGCAGAAGACCUCACUGGGUACCACUCAUCUCCACUAAAAAUAGGAAAAUGAGGCUACAAUUUGCAUGAGCUCACCAAAAUUGGACAGUUGAAGACUGGAAAAAUGUUGCCUGGUAUGAUGAGUCUCAAUUUCUGUUGACAUUCAGAUGGUAGAGUCAGAAUUUGGAGUAAAC